AUGGCAGGAAUCGACAGGGGAAACGUGAAACAGCAGCCAAAGCAAAGAGAUGGAAAAAGGGAUCCACAACCCAGUGAAUGCAGGUUCAGCGCCGCUUCUGUGCCACUCAUGCAUGCAGUUUCAUGGAAAGAUAUAGCAUCCGAUGUCUUUCUAGAAAGCAUAACCACCCACGUCAUGAAAGGGAUCUUUCUGUUACCUGCAAAGUUUGGAGUAUGUACCGUAAAAUAAUUAGGAAAAUGUUUCAUACCAACCCACCCUCUUUAUUAAGUAAGUAAUUUCUUCAAGUAUUUUUCAUAGUGCAAGUUAUUGUUUUGUAUCAGUACAAUAACGAUGGGAAUUCACAGUCCAAAAAAAAAAAGAAAAAAAUUAAUAAUAAUAAUCUUAAAAGAUUUCCAAAGUCAAACAAAAAAAUUUUAAUACUGUAUUUUAGCAAGAACAUUUUUAACAAAGAAUGUGUACUUUAACUUAAUAUGGUACAACAGAGAAACCAUACUUAAAAGUUUCCAUUAUCUAACACUCUACUGCAUAUUCAUUUUUUCAUCUUAAAAGACCAAAAGCCAAGCUGAACUGAGCAUAAAAAAGCAUCAAUUAUAAUCCUCAUAUUACGUCAGCUAUUAGGGUUUAGCUCACACUUCUGAAUUGGUCAUCUAAUGAAAGGACAAUUUUUACAUCAUUCUUUUAAAAAAUGUACACACAUUUCUUUUUAAAACGUAAUAUAUAUUGAGUAUCUGCUUCAGUAAACAAAGCUUAAUUUAUAAACACAAUCGAAACAGCUCCAUGUUGAACAGUUUCAGUGAUAAACUGGACUUGUAUGAUGUACAGCCAGUGAGGACCUUUGUGGCUUAAAAUCAUUGUGCCAUUGCUAUACAGUAAUAGCUACCUCCUUAGGAACAAAAGAGAAAACACAACCAAAAAGAGUUCUUUCUUUGGGGGUGGGAAGGGGAAAUAAUUCCUGUAUGUGCUUAAAAAUACUAAAACUCCUUUCUAUCUCCGGGGACCUAAAAAUGAUCUGUUGCAACAGGCUUGGUUUGGUAUGGUAAGCUUGUAAAAAGUCUCAAUAUUUCUUAAUGACAAUACGGCAGUUUUCGAUGCAGCAACAGUAAAUUGCUUGAAAUUGUCCUUCAAGUUUCAUGCUACAAAUCCUGUUCCUCACACAGUACUGAAGGCAUCAAAGGUUGGAAGGGACAUUUUUCAUGAACUAUAUAGUCUUCAAAUAGUGAUCAUUAUA
rnacentral:lncRNA from 1 species